ACCAACAUCACCGGGUCGUCCUGCUUUCCCCUCUCUUUCUGCGGCCACAGAUGGGUGGAAAAUGUGCCGGUUGCAGAGAGAGUCCUGGAAGUUUGGACCAUGAUUCAGAAGUUUGUCAAUGCUGUUGAGGAUAAGAAGGUCACAAAACCAAACACGGCCUCUUAUGAUGCCAUCCUGGCAGCACAAGGGGAUCCACUCUUAAUCCCAAAGCUUCAAUUCUUCCUCGCCAUUGCGAGAAGUUUUAACCCAUUUCUCAAGAAGUACCAAACAGACGAGCCAGUGUUGCCUUUUUUGGCAGAAGAUUUAACUGAGCUCCUGUUGAGUUUACUGCGGCGGUUCAUCAAAAGGGAACUCCUACAGGACCAAACCCCCCUGCAGCUGAUUAAAUUGGACAUCUCUGAGGAGAAGAACUGGGUCUCCCUCAAAAGGGUAGAUAUAGGCUUGGGGGCUGAAUCUGCCAUCAAGGCACUCCUGGGCAAACCAGGAUCAAAGAUAGGUGAACUCUCUGUACUCCACCUCAGAAAAGAGUGUUUGCAGGGUCUGAUUAAGAUCGUAAAGAAACUGCAGGAGAAAUCGCCAUUGAAAUUCCCCAUAGUUAGGCAGAUCACCUGUUUGGAUCCCACAAGGAUGGCCAGGGAUCCAGAGUGGUGCAUCCUACAGAUGAAGUCAUUAGUGCAGGCUUUCAUCCAGGGGCAGCAGCUGGCAGGUGGCAUUGCAGCUGGUAAGAACAUAUUUUAUAGGGACAGUAGAAGUGGAUAAGUUAUUCAAAUUGAUUAAGGUCUUGUGCGUGGAAUCUCUUUUGUGGUUUUCUGCUUUUUUACUGUGACAGGUGUGAAAGUGUCUUGCUUUUACAAAAUUAAACUUUAUGCUCUCAUAGCUCUCUAUAUCAGGGGUUCUCAACCUUUUGCAAGUUGAGCCCCCCUUUCAAAGGUUAGAAUAUUGUCCCCCCCCACCAACCUUGAUGUCAAUGCAUGAUUUCAAGCACUCAAAUUAUUCUACUUUUCUUUUCUUUUUUGAUAGCCACAUCCAGUGUUCUUGUGAGUUAUGUGAUUUUACUCUGUUUGAUGUAGAAGGUGUUUUGGCACCUUGCAAGCAGAUUCAGCUAAACAAGUCACCGACGCGCAAUUGUAUCAAUUUGUAAUUUAGACAAGACCUCCGUGCCCCCAGGUUGAGAACCACUGCUACAGAUACUAUUAUGUGUAUCUACGAUGUACUGUAUGUACUUUUGUCGAAUGGAUGGUGAAGCAGUUGACUGGAAUGUGUUAAUGAAAUUAAUAUAUCUUAAUUUUCGUAUCAAUGUUGCAGGUGAUGUCACCAUUCAGCAAUUCACAUCCUUUCUCUCGGUCGUGGGCAGAGAAGAAGAAUUUGUUUCCUUCCAACCCCUGAGGCAGCGUCUGGAUGUCUUUCUCCACUCCAAACUCUGCACGUCCCACCCUGACCUGCUAAAGUUCUGCCAAAGUGCUCUCCUCCUGUCCCAUGGACAAGCCACAGUGGAGAGAGGCUUCUCAGUAAAUAAGGAGGUAGAAACGUGCAACCUCCGUGAUGAAUCUCUCGAAGCCCUCAGAUUAAUCUGCGAUAAGGUAAUUGUCUGUGGCGGCGUUCUGAAAGUUCCUCUGACCAAGGAGCUCCUGGCCUCUGCUGCUUCAUCGAGGU